UAAGGGRWUAUUAAUAGUUAUGUUCUUUAAAAUUAAAAAAUUUGGCGGUAUUUUAGUCAAUUCAGAGGAAUCUGUCUUAUAAUUGAUAAUCCACGAUUAGUUGUACUUAUAUUAUUAGUUUAUAUAUCGUUGUAAUAGAAUAUUUUUAAAGAAUAUAUAAUAUUCAAGAUUUUUUUUAAAAAAAUAAAUCAAAUCAAGAUGUAGCUUAUAUAUAAGUAAAGAUGGAUUACAAUAUUGUUAAAUUUGAAUUUAUAUUAUAAUAGUGUAAUGAAAUUGGAUUUGAAAGUAAAUUUGUUUAUAAUGAUAAA
rnacentral:rRNA from 1 species